GGAUGUGAGGGCGAUCUGGCUGCGAUAUCUGUCACCCCAUUGAUUGCCAGGGUUGAUUGGGCUGAUCUGGCUGGCUAGGCAAGUGUCCCCUUCCUCCCUCACCGCUCCAUGUGCGUCCCUCCCAAAGCUGUGCACUUGGUCGAAGAGGACGGCCUUCCUCGAAUAGAGAUGGACCAGUCUUCAGUAUAAGAGUUUGGAGCUCCCCUGCUAGAACCUUCAAACAAGUUCUCAAGAAUAGAGAGGCUAUCAAGGGAGGGGAUUGGAUAUGGA
ensembl:misc_RNA 7SK 7SK RNA